rnacentral:rRNA from 1 species
AUUGAACGCUGGCGGCGUGCCUAACACAUGCAAGUCGAGCGGUAACAGGUGUAGCAAUACAUGCUGACGAGCGGCGAACGGGUGAGUAAUGCUUUGGAAUCUUCCCAGUAGUGGGGAAUAACCAGUCGAAAGAUUGGCUAAUACCGCAUACGUCUGUAAAGGGAAAGCGGGGGCUCGCAAGACCCCGCGCUAUUGGAUGAGCCAAAGUCGGAUUAGCUAGUUGGUGGGGAAUGGCCUACCAAGGCGACAAUCCGUAGCUGGUCUGAGAGGACGACCAGCCACACCGGAACUGAGACACGGUCCGGACUCCUACGGGAGGCAGCAGUGGGGAAUAUUGGACAAUGGGGAAACCCUGAUCCAGCGACGCCGCGUGUGUGAAGAAGGCCUGCGGGUUGUAAAG